rnacentral:rRNA from 1 species
GAUGAACGCUGGCGGCAUGCCUAAUACAUGCAAGUCGAACGAGAGGAAGGAAAGCUUGCUUUUCUGAAUCUAGUGGCGAACGGGUGAGUAACACGUAGGUAACCUGCCCAUGUGCCCGGGAUAACUUCUGGAAACGGAUGCUAAAACCGGAUAGGUAGCAGACAAGCAUUUGACUGCUAUUAAAGUGGCUAAGGCCAUGAACAUGGAUGGACCUGCGGUGCAUUAGCUAGUUGGUGAGGUAACGGCCCACCAAGGCGACGAUGCAUAGCCGGCCUGGAAGUGCGGACGGCCACAGUGGGACUGAGACAGGGCCCAAACUCCGACGGGAGGCAGCAGUAGGGAAUUUUCGUCAAUGGGGGGAACCCUGAACGAGCAAUGCCGCGUGAGUGAGGAAGGUCUUCGGAUCGUAAAGCUCUGUUGUAAGAGAAAAACGACAUUCAUAGGGAAUGAUGAGUGAGUGAUGGUAUCUUACCAGAAAGUCACGGCUAACUACGUGCCAGCCGCCGCAGUAA